rnacentral:sRNA from 1 species
AUCUACGUUGAUGCUUAUUCGACCAUCCAAGAAGCCAUUAAAAAUCCGAGAAAAUUUGGUGAGAACAUAUAUCUUAUUGGUUUAAAAUAUAACUUUGAGAUAAAUUUGACAAUCAAAAGAAAAAAAAUAGGUUCUCAUUUAUAGUACUUUUGGUUUCAAUUUUAAGGUUUCGUCGAGGCUUCGCUAGGCUGUUGUGGAACAGGUACAUACGAAUAUGGAGAGACAUGCAAAGAUAUGCAAGUAUGCAAAGAUCCUACCAAAUACGUUUUUUGGGACGCUGUCCAUCCAACACAAAGAAUGUAUCAAAUCAUUGUUAAGAAGGCAAUCGCAUCCAUCAGUGAAGAGUUUCUUGUUUAGAAAUAUUAUAUGUUUGUAUUUUACUAUCAUGAU